UUUUGAUUUGAAAGGCGCUUUCGGGUGUCGCUGAUGGAUGGACCCGCGGUGCAUUAGCUAGUUGGUGAGGUAACGGCUCACCAAGGCCACGAUGCAUAGCCGACCUGAGAGGGUGAUCGGCCACAUUGGGACUGAGACACGGCCCAAACUCCUACGGGAGGCAGCAGUAGGGAAUCUUCGGCAAUGGACGAAAGUCUGACCGAGCAACGCCGCGUGAGUGAAGAAGGUUUUCGGAUCGUAAAACUCUGUUGUUAGAGAAGAACAAGGAUGAGAGUAACUGUUCAUCCCUUGACGGUAUCUAACCAGAAAGCCACGGCUAACUACGUGCCAGCAGCCGCGGUAAUACGUAGGUGGCAAGCGUUGUCCGGAUUUAUUGGGCGUAAAGCGAGCGCAGGCGGUUUCUUAAGUCUGAUGUGAAAGCCCCCGGCUCAACCGGGGAGGGUCAUUGGAAACUGGGAGACUUGAGUGCAGAAGAGGAGAGUGGAAUUCCAUGUGUAGCGGUGAAAUGCGUAGAUAUAUGGAGGAACACCAGUGGCGAAGGCGGCUCUCUGGUCUGUAACUGACGCUGAGGCUCGAAAGCGUGGGGAGCAAACAGGAUUAGAUACCCUGGUAGUCCACGCCGUAAACGAUGAGUGCUAAGUGUUGGAGGGUUUCCGCCCUUCAGUGCUGCAGCUAACGCAUUAAGCACUCCGCCUGGGGAGUACGACCGCAAGGUUGAAACUCAAAGGAAUUGACGGGGGCCCGCACAAGCGGUGGAGCAUGUGGUUUAAUUCGAAGCAACGCGAAGAACCUUACCAGGUCUUGACAUCCUUUGACCACUCUAGAGAUAGAGCUUCCCCUUCGGGGGCAAAGUGACAGGUGGUGCAUGGUUGUCGUCAGCUCGUGUCGUGAGAUGUUGGGUUAAGUCCCGCAACGAGCGCAACCCUUAUUGUUAGUUGCCAUCAUUCAGUUGGGCACUCUAGCAAGACUGCCGGUGACAAACCGGAGGAAGGUGGGGAUGACGUCAAAUCAUCAUGCCCCUUAUGACCUGGGCUACACACGUGCUACAAUGGGAAGUACAACGAGUUGCGAAGUCGCGAGGCUAAGCUAAUCUCUUAAAGCUUCUCUCAGUUCGGAUUGCAGGCUGCAACUCGCCUGCAUGAAGCCGGAAUCGCUAGUAAUCGCGGAUCAGCACGCCGCGGUGAAUACGUUCCCGGGCCUUGUACACACCGCCCGUCACACCACGAGAGUUUGUAACACCCGAAGUCGGUGAGGUAACCUUUU
rnacentral:rRNA from 1 species